AGAAGCAGAACAGGAAGCAGAGCAGCUAAAGACACAGGUGGCCCGCCUUCAGGCUGAGAAGGCCGACCUACUGGGCAUCGUCUCAGAAUUACAGCUCAAGGUCAACUCCAGAGGCUCCGCAGAAGAUCCUUUGUUGAAAUUAGGAUGGUUGAAGGAGAAGCAGAUGGGUCAAUAAGAGAAAUCAAGAAUAGUCCUGGGCCCAUAAAAACGGACUCCACAUCCAUUAACACGAGCAAAUCUGCAGAAGGUGCCAGAAAUUAUUUGGAAUUUGAGGAAUUAACUGUGAGCCAGCUCCUGCUUUGCCUAAGGGAAGGAAACCAGAAGGUGGAGAGACUUGAAACUGCUCUCAAAGAAGCCAGAGAAAGGUAUGAAAUAGAUUAAUAUGGAAUGUGCACACA